AGUCGACGAAGCACCUUGAUUUGAUUCUUCGGAUGAAGAUCUUGGUGACUGAGUGGCGGACGGGUGAGUAACGCGUGGGUAACCUGCCUCAUACAGGGGGAUAACAGUUAGAAAUGACUGCUAAUACCGCAUAAGACCACAGCAGCGCAUGGUGCAGGGGUAAAAACUCCGGUGGUAUGAGAUGGACCCGCGUCUGAUUAGGUAGUUGGUGGGGUAACGGCCUACCAAGCCGACGAUCAGUAGCCGAUCUGAGAGGGUGACCGGCCACAUUGGGACUGAGACACGGCCCAAACUCCUACGGGAGGCAGCAGUGGGGAAUAUUGCACAAUGGGGGAAACCCUGAUGCAGCGACGCCGCGUGAGCGAUGAAGUAUUUCGGUAUGUAAAGCUCUAUCAGCAGGGAAGAAAAUGACGGUACCUGACUAAGAAGCACCGGCUAAAUACGUGCCAGCAGCCGCGGUAAUACGUAUGGUGCAAGCGUUAUCCGGAUUUACUGGGUGUAAAGGGAGCGUAGACGGAGUGGCAAGUCUGAUGUGAAAACCCGGGGCUCAACCCCGGGACUGCAUUGGAAACUGUCAAUCUGGAGUACCGGAGAGGUAAGCGGAAUUCCUAGUGUAGCGGUGAAAUGCGUAGAUAUUAGGAGGAACACCAGUGGCGAAGGCGGCUUUCUGGACGAUGACUGACACUGAGGCACGAAAGCGUGGGGAGCAAACAGGAUUAGAUACCCUGGUAGUCCACGCCGUANACGAUGAAUACUAGGUGNCGGGGCCGUAGAGGCUUCGGUGCCGCAGCAAACGCAAUAAGUAUUCCACCUGGGGAGUACG
rnacentral:rRNA from 1 species